rnacentral:rRNA from 1 species
GAUGAACGCUGACAGAAUGCUUAACACAUGCAAGUCUUUGGCGAAGCUGUGCUUGCACAGCCUAGCCAAGGCGGACGGGUGAGUAACGCGUCAGGAACUUGCCCUGCAGUCAGGGAUAACAGACGGAAACGACUGAUAAGACCUGGUAAAGUCAGGCGGACUCAUGUCCAGCCUGAUGAAAAGAGAUGCUGCAGGAGAGCCUUGCGUCCUAUUAGCUUGUUGGUGGGGUAACGGCCCACCAAGGCGAUGAUAGGUAGCCGGCCUGAGAGGGUGGACGGCCACAAGGGGACUGAGAUACGGCCCUUACGCCUACGGGAGGCAGCAGUGGGGAAUAUUGGACAAUGGGGGCAACCCUGAUCCAGCAAUUCUGUGUGCACGAUGAAGGUUUUCGGAUUGUAAAGUGCUUUCAGCAGGGAAGAAAAAAAUGACGGUACCUGCAGAAGAAGCGACGGCUAAAUACGUG